rnacentral:rRNA from 1 species
CAGUCGCCGCGGGAAUACGAAGGGGGCUAGCGUUGCUCGGAAUGACUGGGCGUAAAGGGCGCGUAGGCGGCGAUCAAAGUCAGGCGUGAAAUUCCUGGGCUCAACCUGGGGGCUGCGUUUGAUACUUGAUUGCUAGAGUGGGGAAGAGGGUCGUGGAAUUCCCAGUGUAGAGGUGAAAUUCGUAGAUAUUGGGAAGAACACCGGUGGCGAAGGCGGCGACCUGGUCCUUGACUGACGCUGAGGCGCGAAAGCGUGGGGAGCAAACAGGAUUAGAUACCCCAGUAGUCCCUGUCUCUUAUAC